CUUUCAACAAAAUUGUGAAAAAAUGAGCAGUGUCAGCCUGGUGCAGUGAUUGUCUCCAGGACUUGAACCCACUAAGACUUAAGGUCUGUUUCAAGCAUUC
rnacentral:lncRNA from 1 species